CACAGCGCAGCAGAGGGGACAGAGAGACAGACAGGUGUUAGUGACACCUGUGAUCAUCACACAGACAGCAGAGACAUCAGGCUGUGUGUAGAUCUGAGGUGUCAGUGUGACAGGUAACAGGUAAGAGAGAAAACAGGUAACAAGAAAUAGAGAGAACAGGUACAGGUAACAGAGAGAGAACAGGUACAGAGUACCUCUACAGAGUUACCUGUAGAAGUGUGUUAUGACUCUGUGUUACCUGUAGAGGUGUAUUGUGACUCUGUGUUACCUGUAGAGGUGUGUUAUGACUCAGUGUUACCUGUAGAGGUGUGUUAUGACUAUGUUACCUGUAGAGGUGUAUUGUGACUCUGU